rnacentral:rRNA from 1 species
CACUAGUGAUUGAUUAAGCCAUGCAUGUCUAAGUGUAAAUUGUUAAGUUUGGAACUGCGAAUGGCUCAUUAAAUCAGUUGUAGUUUAUUUGGUGAAGUGUACUACUUGGAUAACCGUAGUAAUUCUAGGGCUAAUACAUGAGAAAGUCCUCUGGUGAGGUGUGUUUAUUAGAAUGAAAACCAUAUGCUUCGGCAUGAUAGUGAGUAAUAGUAACCUAUCGUAUCGCAUGCUUAAUGUAGCGAUGAGUCUUUCAAGUUUCUGCCCUAUCAGCUUUCGAUGGGAGUAUAUGGGCCUACCAUGGCAGUAACGGGUAACGAAGAAUUUGGGUUCGAUUUCGGAGAGGGAGCCUGAGAGAUGGCUACCACAUCCAAGGAAGGCAACAGGCGCGUAAAUUACCCAAUCCUGACACAGGGUGGUAGUGACAAUAAAUCACAAUGCGGGACUAUACGUCUUGCAAUUGGAUUGAGAACAAUGUACAACUCUUAUCGAUAAGCCAUUGGAGGGCAAGUCUGGUGCCAGCAGCCGCGGUAAUUCCGGCUCCAAUAGCGUAUAUUAACGUUGUUGCAGUUAAAAAGCUCGUAGUUGAAGUGUGGGUGAUCGCUAUUGUGAGACUUCGGUCUCUCGACAGUAAGUCACCCCCUUCCAGUAUCCAGUAGUGGGUAUUCAGUUACUUACUAUUGUGUGUUGGUCCUUUACUGUGAGAAAAUUAGAGUGCUUAAAGCAGGAAUCGAAUUC